CCCUUAGAUGUUCUGGGCUGCACGCGUGCUACAAUGGCGUUUCCAGCAAGUCUGCGAACCCGAGAGGGCCAGCGGAUCUUCGAAUUGGCGUCGUGAUCGGGACAGUCGAUUGCAAUUAUUUGACUCAAACGAGGAAUUCCUUGUAAUCGCGAUUCAUCAUAUCGCGCUGAAUACGUCCCUGCCCUUUGUACACACCGCCCGUCGCUCCUACCGAUUGAGCGUUCCGGUAAAUGUUUUGGAUUGGUGCCGGGGCGGCUAGCUGCCGGUCGCUACGAAAUUUUGUGAACCUUAUCGCUUAGAGGAAGGAAAAGUCGUAACA
rnacentral:rRNA from 1 species